GUAGUCUCGCACAGAUGCAUAUCAAUAAGCGGAGGAAAAGAAACUAACAAGGAUUCCCUUAGUAACGGCGAGUGAAGCGGGAAGAGCUCAAAUUUGAAAUCUUCAAGGCUUUUACCUUGACGAAUUGUAGUUUAAAGAAGUGUUUUCUGUUGAAGUUCUGGUAAAAGUUCUUUGGAAUAGGACAUCAUAGAGGGUGAGAAUCCCGUAUUUGACCAUUAUUUUCAGCUGUGUGAUACACUUUCAAAGAGUCGGAUUGUUUGGGAAUGCAGUCCAAAAUGGGUGGUAAAUUUCAUCUAAAGCUAAAUAUUGGCGAGAGACCGAUAGCGAACAAGUACCGUGAGGGAAAGAUGAAAAGAACUUUGAAAAGAGAGUUAAACAGUACGUGAAAUUGUCAAAAGGGAAGCGUUUGACACCAGUGUUGUUUUCUCGAAAAUCAAUUAAAAAGAGUUAGAUUUUGUUGUGUAUUGACCUUAACAGCUUGCAUUUCAAUUUUCUUGCUUUUUUUAAUGCACUUUUCGUUUAACAAGUCAACAUCAGUUUCUUUUGUUGUAAAAAGGUCAUUGGAAGGUGGCUUUCUUUUCGGAGAAAGUGUUUAUAGCCUUUGACUCCUGCAAUCGGAGAGACUGAGGUCUGCAGCGUAGAUCCUUCGGGGUUAGAUACAUUUGUGCUAAGUUAUAGCUUUUUAUAGACAACUUGUUGACUAUGAUUAGUCUUGUAGCUUACUCGCUUAUGCUAUUUUACCUACGCUUAGGAUGUUGAAGAUGUAGCACAUCAU
rnacentral:rRNA from 1 species